rnacentral:tRNA from 1 species
GGCCCUAUCGUCUAGCCUGGUUAGGACACGUGGUUCUCAUCCACGAAACUCGGGUUCGAAUCCCGAUGGGGUCACCA